GACCCGAAACCCGGUGAUCUAGCCAUGGGCAGGUUGAAGGUUGGGUAACACUAACUGGAGGACCGAACCGACUAAUGUUGAAAAAUUAGCGGAUGACUUGUGGCUGGGGGUGAAAGGCCAAUCAAACCGGGAGAUAGCUGGUUCUCCCCGAAAGCUAUUUAGGUAGCGCCUCGUGAAUUCAUCUCCGGGGGUAGAGCACUGUUUCGGCAAGGGGGUCAUCCCGACUUACCAACCCGAUGCAAACUGCGAAUACCGGAGAAUGUUAUCACGGGAGACACACGGCGGGUGCUAACGUCCGUCGUGAAGAGGGAAACAACCCAGACCGCCAGCUAAGGUCCCAAAGUCAUGGUUAAGUGGGAAACGAUGUGGGAAGGCCCAGACAGCCAGGAUGUUGGCUUAGAAGCAGCCAUCAUUUAAAGAAAGCGUAAUAGCUCACUGGUCGAGUCGGCCUGCGCGGAAGAUGUAACGGGGCUAAACCAUG
rnacentral:rRNA from 1 species